rnacentral:rRNA from 1 species
CAGCCGUAAACUAUGCGCGUUAGGUGUACUGGUGACCACGAGUCACCGGGUGCCGAAGGGAAACCGUGAAACGUGCCGCCUGGGAAGUACGGUCGCAAGGCUGAAACUUAAAGGAAUUGGCGGGGAGCACCACAACAGGUGGAGCCUGCGGUUUAAUUGGACUCAACGCCGGGAAGCUCACCGGAUAGGACAGCAGAAUGAUUGCCGGGCUGAAGACCCUGCAUGACUAGCUGAGAGGAGGUGCAUGGCGUCAGUGACU